UACGAAGGGGGCUAGCGUUGUUCGGAAUCACUGGGCGUAAAGGGCGCGUAGGCGGCCUGAUAAGUCGGGGGUGAAAGCCUGUGGCUCAACCACAGAAUUGCCUUCGAUACUGUUAGGCUUGAGACCGGAAGAGGUAAGUGGAACUGCGAGUGUAGAGGUGAAAUUCGUAGAUAUUCGCAAGAACACCAGUGGCGAAGGCGGCUCACUGGCCCGGUACUGACGCUGAGGUGCGAAAGCGUGGGGAGCAAACAGGG
rnacentral:rRNA from 1 species